rnacentral:rRNA from 3 species
AGAGUUUGAUCAUGGCUCAGAUUGAACGCUGGCGGCAGGCCUAACACAUGCAAGUCGAGCGGUAGCACAGAGAGCUUGCUCUCGGGUGACGAGCGGCGGACGGGUGAGUAAUGUCUGGGAAACUGCCUGAUGGAGGGGGAUAACUACUGGAAACGGUAGCUAAUACCGCAUAACGUCGCAAGACCAAAGUGGGGGACCUUCGGGCCUCAUGCCAUCAGAUGUGCCCAGAUGGGAUUAGCUAGUAGGUGGGGUAACGGCUCACCUAGGCGACGAUCCCUAGCUGGUCUGAGAGGAUGACCAGCCACACUGGAACUGAGACACGGUCCAGACUCCUACGGGAGGCAGCAGUGGGGAAUAUUGCACAAUGGGCGCAAGCCUGAUGCAGCCAUGCCGCGUGUGUGAAGAAGGCCUUCGGGUUGUAAAGCACUUUCAGCGGGGAGGAAGGCGAUAAGGUUAAUAACCUUGUCGAUUGACGUUACCCGCAGAAGAAGCACCGGCUAACUCCGUGCCAGCAGCCGCGGUAAUACGGAGGGUGCAAGCGUUAAUCGGAAUUACUGGGCGUAAAGCGCACGCAGGCGGUCUGUCAAGUCGGAUGUGAAAUCCCCGGGCUCAACCUGGGAACUGCAUUCGAAACUGGCAGGCUAGAGUCUUGUAGAGGGGGGUAGAAUUCCAGGUGUAGCGGUGAAAUGCGUAGAGAUCUGGAGGAAUACCGGUGGCGAAGGCGGCCCCCUGGACAAAGACUGACGCUCAGGUGCGAAAGCGUGGGGAGCAAACAGGAUUAGAUACCCUGGUAGUCCACGCCGUAAACGAUGUCGAUUUGGAGGUUGUGCCCUUGAGGCGUGGCUUCCGGAGCUAACGCGUUAAAUCGACCGCCUGGGGAGUACGGCCGCAAGGUUAAAACUCAAAUGAAUUGACGGGGGCCCGCACAAGCGGUGGAGCAUGUGGUUUAAUUCGAUGCAACGCGAAGAACCUUACCUGGUCUUGACAUCCACAGAACUUAGCAGAGAUGCUUUGGUGCCUUCGGGAACUGUGAGACAGGUGCUGCAUGGCUGUCGUCAGCUCGUGUUGUGAAAUGUUGGGUUAAGUCCCGCAACGAGCGCAACCCUUAUCCUUUGUUGCCAGCGGUUAGGCCGGGAACUCAAAGGAGACUGCCAGUGAUAAACUGGAGGAAGGUGGGGAUGACGUCAAGUCAUCAUGGCCCUUACGACCAGGGCUACACACGUGCUACAAUGGCAUAUACAAAGAGAAGCGACCUCGCGAGAGCAAGCGGACCUCAUAAAGUAUGUCGUAGUCCGGAUUGGAGUCUGCAACUCGACUCCAUGAAGUCGGAAUCGCUAGUAAUCGUAGAUCAGAAUGCUACGGUGAAUACGUUCCCGGGCCUUGUACACACCGCCCGUCACACCAUGGGAGUGGGUUGCAAAAGAAGUAGGUAGCUUAACCUUCGGGAGGGCGCUUACCACUUUGUGAUUCAUGACUGGGGUGAAGUCGUAACAAGGUAACCGUAGGGGAACCUGCGGUUG